UGUGUUUCUCUUGCACAGGGCAAUCUUGAUUAUAACUCUCUGUGGAUUUGGAAGUUACUCAUCUGAGUAAAGGGGAGAAAUUUAUCAGCCUCCUUUGGCCACAGCUGGGCAGGUGAUAGAACAAGCUGGCAGCUGGAAACAUGAGCAAAGGGAGCCAGAGAGUUUCCUGCCAGGCCAACAGAGAGAAGGAAGGAGACAGAAAGAAAAUGGUAACAGAAGCUUUUUCUAACGCCAGAAAUGUAAGAGUGCCUUUGUUAUAAAACACAAGCACUGAUUUCCUGUUUCCAUAACUUAUGAUCGGAAUCAGAUUUGCUGAACAUAGCCAAGAUUCAGCUUGCAGAUAUGUUUCCUUGGCCUACACAGUGUUUUCCACAAGCCAAAUUGAAAUGCAUAUGUGAGGGACGCCUGGGUGGUUGAGCAUCUGCCUUCGGCUCAGGGCGUGAUCCCACGGUCCUGCGAU